rnacentral:lncRNA from 1 species
AAGUUCUCAAGGACAUCUGAGACUAUGAGUGUUGUCCACAUCCAAAAUCUGCAACUUGUUAUGGACAAAUCAACCAAUCAGCAAAGCACGAACAAACUAACAAUUCAGAUUGAGCUAAAUCAUCUUACACAAAUAAUUUCUCAAAUUCAGCAGAAGAACAAAUCGCUAAAAAGGUUACAAAACUUUCGAAAGGGAAAACAAUUGAAAGUAAGAUGCACAGACAAUCAUAAGAAGAAAGUCCAUUGCUCUGUAUCAUCUUAGUCAAAUCAAUUCAAAAAUAAAUACUUAUACACUGAAAAACAAAACAAAUUCAUGUAAACCCACCAUCCCAGCUGAUGAUGGCAACAAAUUAAAGAGAAACCAACAAAAACAGAUGUCGUAUUAUAGUUUUAUAAUAUAAACAGAGAGUAAAGCGUUUAAUCACAUAGUACCUUCUUUAUGCACUUCUUUCUUUGAUCUUCCACCUCGUCAUCAACCCAAAAUUAACCUUGUCCUUCAAAUCAUCAUCAUCAUCAUCACCCGU